rnacentral:rRNA from 1 species
GUAGGGAAUAUUGGGCAAUGGUCGGAAGACUGACCCAGCCAUGCCGCGUGCAGGAAGACGGCCCUCUGGGUUGUAAACUGCUUUUAUCUGGGAAGAAAAAGGCCAUGCGUGGCAAAUUGCCGGUACCAGAUGAAUAAGCACCGGCUAACUCCGUGCCAGCAGCCGCGGUAAUACGGAGGGUGCGAGCGUUGUCCGGAUUUAUUGGGUUUAAAGGGUGCGUAGGCGGCUGAUUAAGUCAGCGGUGAAAGACUUCGGCUUAACCGGAGCAGUGCCGUUGAUACUGGUUGGCUUGAGUGUCGGAGGGGUACAUGGAAUUGAUGGUGUAGCGGUGAAAUGCAUAGAUACCAUCAGGAACACCGAUAGCGAAGGCAUUGUACUGGCCGACAACUGACGCUGAUGCACGAAAGUGUGGGGAUUGAACAGGAUUAGAAACCCGGGUAGUCC